rnacentral:rRNA from 1 species
AGUCACGGGGGGUAGCAAUACCAACCGGCGAACGGGUGCGUAACACGUGAACAACCUGCCCUCGUGUGGGGGAUAGCCGGGCUAACGCCCGGGUAAUACCGCAUACGUUCCCCUGGGGGAGUCCUCGGGGGAGGAAAGCUCCGGCGCACGGGGAGGGGUUCGCGGCCUAUCAGCUAGUUGGCGGGGUAAUGGCCCACCAAGGCGACGACGGGUAGCUGGUCUGAGAGGAUGGCCAGCCACAUUGGGACUGAGAGACGGCCCAGACUCCUACGGGAGGCAGCAGUGGGGAAUCUUGCGCAAUGGCCGAAAGGCUGACGCAGCGACGCCGCGUGUGGGAGGACGCCUUUCGGGGUGUAAACCACUGUUGCCCGGGACGAACGAGCUCUUUCGAGAGCUGUGACGGUACCGGGUGAGGAAGCACAGGCUAACUCCGUGCCAGCAGCCGCGGUAAUACGGAGGGUGCGAGCGUUGUCCGGAAUCAUUGGGCGUAAAGGGCGCGUAGGUGGCCCGGUCAGUUCGUGGUGAAAGCGCGGGGCUCAACCCUGCGUCGGCCAUGAAUACUGCCGCGGCUGGAGCACUGUAGAGGCAGGCGGAAUUCCGGGUGUAGCGGUGGAAUGCGUAGAGAUCCGGAAGAACACCGGUGGCGAAGGCGGCCUGCUGGGCAGUUUGCUGACACUGAGGCGCGACAGCGUGGGGAGCAAACAGGAUUAGAUACCCUGGUAGUCCACGCCGUAAACGAUGGGCACUAGGCGCUUGGGGGAGCGACCCCCCGAGGGCCGGCGCUAACGCAUUAAGUGCCCCGCCUGGGGAGUACGGCCGCAAGGCUGAAACUCAAAGGAAUUGACGGGGGCC